rnacentral:rRNA from 1 species
GGACCUGACUGCUAUCGGAUUGAUACUAAGCCAUGCGAGUCAUUGUAGCAAUACAAGGCAUACGGCUCAGUAACGCGUAGUCAACCUAACCUAUGGACGGGAAUAACCUCGGGAAACUGAGAAUAAUGCCCGAUAGAACAUUAUGCCUGGAAUGGUUUAUGUUCCAAAUGAUUUAUCGCCGUAGGAUGGGACUGCGGCCUAUCAGUUUGUUGGUGAGGUAAUGGCCCACCAAGACUAUUACAGGUACGGGCUCUGAGAGGAGUAGCCCGGAGAUGGGUACUGAGACACGGACCCAGGCCCUAUGGGGCGCAGCAGGCGAGAAAACUUUGCAAUGUGCGAAAGCACGACAAGGUUAAUCCGAGUGGUUUCUGCUAAAGAAACCUUUUGUCAGUCCUAGAAACACUGAUGAAUAGGGGGUGGGCAAGUUCUGGUGU